AUGGCCUGGACUCCUCUGCUCCUCGCGCUCCUCUCUCUCUGCACAGGGUCCCUCUCCCAGCCUGUGCUGACCCAGCCGCCCUCCCUGACUGCGUCCCCUGGAGCAUCGGCCGGCCUCCCCUGCACCCUGAGCAGUGGCUCUGUCGUUGCGGGCUACCACAUUGUCUGGUACCAGCAGAAUCCGGGGAGCCCUCCCAGGUAUCUCCUGAGGUUUAAAGGUGACUCAGACAAGCACCAGGGCUCCGGGGUCCCCAGCCGCUUCUCUGGAUCCAAAGACACGUCGGCCAACGCGGGGCUCCUGCUCAUCUCGGGGCUGCAGCCCGAGGACGAGGCUGACUAUUACUGUGCGACUUACCACGGCAACAGCGGCACUCACACGGCGGCCCAGGGCCAUGGGGAAGUGAGCCUCAAACCCUCAGGGGGCCCUUCCUGCCUGGGCUGUCACCCCUGCCCUGCCUGGAGCCGCGUCUCACUCAGGGAGACAUCCCUUGUCGCUCGCUCAGGGGCCAUCUCUUUUCCUGGGACCCAGGGCUGA